UACAUGUGGGGCAAGCGUUGUUCGGAAUUACUGGGCGUAAAGAGCUCGUAGGCGGUGUGUCGCGUCGGCCGUGAAAACCUGCAGCUUAACUGUGGGCUUGCGGUCGAUACGGGCAUCACUGGAGUUCGGCAGGGGAGACUGGAAUUCCUGGUGUAGCGGUGGAAUGCGCAGAUAUCAGGAGGAACACCGGUGGCGAAGGCGGGUCUCUGGGCAGUAACUGACGCUGAGGAGCGAAAGCGUGGGGAGCGAACAGG
rnacentral:rRNA from 1 species